UUGUGAAUAGUGCUUUUUGACAGUAUGUUUCAUUCAUGAGUUUUAGUUCUAUAAGAUUUUUGAUGUAUACAUAUUACACAGAAAAUUAGCUCUUUCGAAAAUUGACGGCAGUUUGGAUUCUGCAAGGAGUAUUUUCGUCAGUCUCGAUCUUACAUGGAUCUGGUCAAUGCAAACAUCAUAACUGGUGCAUUAGUAUUUCCUCUUGGAACAACUGAAAUGACAGACGCAUCGAUAACUCUCAAUCCUUGAAUACCAUAGACUCUCAACCUUGGAUCAACAACAGCUUCAGCAUCUUCUUGCGGGCCCAUUUUGCAUGUUCCAACAAUAUGAUGAAAUGGAAAACCAAAAUAUCGCACAACACAGGUCCAAUAUGCAUCUGAGUUGAAUAGAAUCAUGUGGCAAGGAGGCAUAGGGGUCUGGUUCGGCAGUUAAAUAUCCAGGAUAUAUCAAAGGUGACCCCCAGACUGGAUCUGUAGUAUUAAGUUUUAUGUACCCUCUACUAUUGGGAGUGAGCAAUACUGUCAUGAUGGAGA